rnacentral:rRNA from 1 species
GGGCCCGCACAAGCGGUGGAGCAUGUGGUUUAAUUCGAUGAUACGCGAGGAACCUUACCAGGGCUUAAAUGCAGAACGACCGGGAUGGAAACAUCCCUUUCUUCGGACGGUCUGCAAGGUGCUGCAUGGUUGUCGUCAGCUCGUGCUGUGAAGUGUCGGGUUAAGUCCCGCAACGAGCGCAACCCCCAUCUUUAGUUGCCAGCGGAUAAUGCCGGGGACUCUAAAGAAACUGCCUACGCAAGUAGUGAGGAAGGCGGGGACGACGUCAAGUCAUCACGGCCCUUACGUCCUGGGCCACACACGUGCUACAAUGGUAGGUACAGAGGGCAGCUACUGGGUGACCAGAUGCG